AUUGAUCUAGGACAAUGUUCUAAUAGUGCACAAGUGAAGGUGGCUCCAAGAAGACAACCUCAAGCUAGUCUUCCUCAACAAUUGGCUCA
rnacentral:tRNA from 1 species